GAGGGUCCGCACGUGCGGGAGGUCCCCCCGGAGUCAGCCACCGACGGCCUCGGCAGGCGAACCCUUGCGAUCGGACGGACGAGAUCGGCGGAUCGGAGGGAUGUGUCGGCGGAAGACGAGACACAGCCGACGAGUUGCGCAACGUGGCCUCGCAUCGCGCUCUCCGGUCACCGUAAAACGACAAAGCACAGAGGAGAGAGGUGAGUACGUGCUCAUUCCAUGUGCAUUUGGAUCGACUUUACCCAAUUAACAAUUGCAACAAUAAUAGCAUGUGUUUUAGAUUAGGGUUAGUCAAAAGCAUCCAACGAAAUCAAUUAAUAAAUCAAACAUAAUGAUUAACAAGUUAGAUUACAUUGGUUUAGUCUUGAUUUUGACAUUUGUGAUCAACAAGAACAUGGAUCUUAAUUAGUAAUUAUGUUAUGACAUAGGGAACCAGAUAGUUGGAAAAUGCUUAUAUAUAUGCUACAAAUUUGAUGUGCUUGAUCUCCAAUUGUUGGAAGGAAUCAUGUGAUGUGGUGUCAGGCAAAGUCUUCACUUCCUGGAGGGGUUGAUG
rnacentral:lncRNA from 1 species